CCCGUUUAAUUGCAAAGGGAAAACAUUGCAUUAUUUAGGUUAACAACUUAACAUAUGCAAACAAAGACACAAGUUUAAAACACAACACGAAACAUACCAAAGCUUGACCAAAACAACAAAAACUAGAAAUAUGAAAUGAGAAUGCAAAGACACAACAACAACUUUAUUCCAAGACACAUUAAUUCAUUAGGCAUCGUCCUCACCACCAGACUUGCUGCUCUCUCCUUCAUUGGUCUUCAUGUACUCCUCAUCUUCAUUAGAAGGUUCCAUGUUCAGGUUAAAUCGAGAUCCCAUAUGAGUCAUCCCAUCGCCAUGUUUUUGGACUUCUGGAUUAUCCACGAACCACUUGUAGGCGGAAAAAAAUUAUUUGUAAAAGGAUAAAAAAUCAAGAGCCCAAUUAUAAUAAAUUAAGAAAUCGGAGGUCCAUUUAUUAUGAUUUUUUGUUGAAUUGUUUUUUUUAAAUUGGGUUCGUAGGCGGUCCUUUCAUCCCGCUCCCCUCAAAACCGCCCCUGACUAAACUAUUUUGGUAGUGUAUUAAAUAUAUUGGUUGUUCUAAUUAUUAAGUUUAAUGUUUAUGUGUCAUCAUAAUUUACUUGGGUUUACAAUUUUCAUAAUAGGCAAUUUUACUUAAAAAAAUUAUUCUUGUUAAUUAUUAUAUAUUGUAAGUCUUUGCUAAUUCUCUUUUAGCAAAAUACUUUUAAUCAAAUAUAAAUAUAGUUAGAGAGUAGGUAAAAGUGACAUUAAUAUAAAUACUUGUAAUCUUAAAUACAAAUUGAUUAACUGAACUAAAAACUUAAUUUGGAAUGACAAAUUAUAUUUUGUAAUUUAUAAAAAAUGAUUACACUACUACUAAAAGUGUUAUUAAGUGUCCUGCAAACAUCUGCUCAUUUUUCAAAAUCAUCAUUUUUCAAUACCAAGAAUUCUGAACUUAAAUCACAAUAUAAGAUAUUAAUUUGGUUUCCUGCAUUAUCCGAUUUUGUAAUUUGUAUACUCUAUUUUUUUUAUUUUCUGGUUGAAUUAACAAUGCUUGAGAUUUUUCAUUUAAAUAUGCUUUUCCAGCCAUUCAGUCUUAAGAGCAUCUCCAAAAAUGAACUCUAUUUUGAAGUUUUCAAAACUCUAUAUUUGAAGUUUAAAGGUGUUUUUAUCCAAAAGCAAAACUUCAAACAUAAAUUCAAAACUAUUUGUAUUUUAUAAUAUGGUCCUUAUAUUUUUCAUAAAUAAUUUAAAUUCAUAAAACUUUUGUAAAUAACUAGCACAUAUAUAAACAUAUUACAACAAUAUUAAUUAACAAAAUAUUAUAUUAAAAUAUAAAAUUUUAAACAAAAUAACUUAAUUAAUAUUAUACUUCAAGCAAAAUACCAUAUUAUUCCAUAAAGUGAUUUUUGUAAUGCAUAUAUAAUCUACUAGUGCAUUUCGAAGUAAAAAUAGCUCUCCUCAUUUUUAAUUUGUAGAUUAGUGAUAAAAAUUGUUGAAAUCGGAAGAUAUUAAUACUUGUAAAUACAUUAGAUCAUAACAAGAAAGUAAAAGAGAAACAUAAAAUAUUACUAACAGUCUAAUUUUUAUCGAUGAUAUUAAUAUUCGUGAAUAUAUUCAAUAUGAACAAGAAAUAAUUGUACGAAAAUACAUCAUCAACAACAACAACCAUCUUAAAUUACACCAAAACAAAUUAGACAAUAUUUGGAAAUUUUGAAGGUUUCGGAUCAAACUUACUUGACUAUUUUUUUUUUUUUGAUGAAAUUUUAAAUUUAUUGAUCAUCGCAAAAGAAUGUAUGUACAAGACCUAAAGCUUUUUAGGUUUUAAAGAAUAGAGACAAAACUUAGAAAAAUUAAAGAAUAUGUGCUUCAAACCAUCUUCUCAUCAGACCUUGUAGCCUUCGCUUCAGAGCAUAUCCAUCUAAUUUUUAUCGAUGAUAUUAAUAUUCGUGAAUAUAUUCAAUAUGAACAAGAAAUAAUUGUACGAAAAUACAUCAUCAACAACAACAACCAUCUUAAAUUACACCAAAACAAAUUAGACAAUAUUUGGAAAUUUUGAAGGUUUCGGAUCAAACUUACUUGACUAUUUUUUUUUUUUUGAUGAAAUUUUAAAUUUAUUGAUCAUCGCAAAAGAAUGUAUGUACAAGACCUAAAGCUUUUUAGGUUUUAAAGAAUAGAGACAAAACUUAGAAAAAUUAAAGAAUAUGUGCUUCAAACCAUCUUCUCAUCAGACCUUGUAGCCUUGGCUUCAGAGCAUAUCCAGUGGAAGUGAUACGGUUCCUGACCGUUUUAUCAAUCAGUUUAGAAACAUGAUUGACAGGCCGGGCUGAGUUAUUGUGCUUGCGGUCAUUCCGCUCGCGCCAUAUAUAGUAGAUCGUAACCUGCAACCCAAGCCGCAGCAGUAUGAACGUCAAACUGUCAAAAGAUCCCGUGAGAAGAUGCACCAUAGUUGUAUCCCAGUCGGGAUCAGGUUCUUGUCCAAACAGGUUCCCAACCACCUUAAUCCAGAGCGUGAAAGUGUAGGGACACGCAAAAAAAUAAGUGAUCUCUUGUCUCGUCAGGCUCACCACAGAAGAGACAACCUUGGGGAUGGCCCCAUUGACUCGUACGAUGGCCAGUUGAGAGUCGAUUCCUGAUAGCUAACCAAGUGAUGAAAGCAAACCGCGGUACACCCUGUGGGAACCAGACCAGCUUGCUCCAGACCACAUUCUCCUUGCGACAAUGUGGUAUUUUAUUUUACCUUUGGGAUAAAAUGUGAUAUUGGCUGCUCAUCACUUAAUUAUUAGUUAUGUAAUUACGUAAGUCUUAAACUUUGAAUCUAUGAUUUUGUUCACUUACUGAUUUACAGGUAGGGAAAUGCCACUUGUAGGUAGAUGAUAUAUGGUAUUUUAUACAUCUUGUAUAUAUGCUUUUAAAUUGGUUUUCAAGUCUUUAUCGAGUCUUCCUAGUCCUUUUGUCAUUACAGGUCUGGAGUUGUAUUGGAUGGGAGAUGAACCAGCUGGAACAAAAGAGGCAGAAAACAGUGCAAUUUGGUGAUUUUCACGCAGAACAGUCUUGAUGACUGUUCUGGAUAGCGGAGCAACCCGAGUGACUGUUCCGAGGGAGUGUUCCAGCGGUAGAGAUUUUUAAGGAAACAACAACCUAUUUCGGGAUUUGCCCUAAUCUCUCUAUUUUCUCUCCCAGCCGCCUGUGGUUUUGAUAUAUCUUCUUUUUCUGUUUUUCCUGAUCAUUCUACGCUAGUUUACAGAGAGGAACCAGACCCAAAAACUCCAUUGUUGGAUUUGCUUAUUGUAAAGGGAGAAGGAUCUCUACACUCUUGAGAAGAAUCCUGAACCCUAUCUCAUUUAUUUAAUUGAUUCAGCAUGUUUUCUUCAUCUGUUAUCUCUGUGUUCUCUAUGUGAUGUGUAAUUGUAGGGACCAAAAUACAAAUAAAAAUAUGAAACUUCAAAUUUGAAGUUUUGAAAUUCCUUUUUGGAGAGCAAAAAACUUCAUAUUUGAAGUUAUAGACUGUCUUUUGGAAAUGCUCUAACAUCUUGAAAUUUUCGUUGGUGCAAUGGUGCAAUUAGAGAAGCAUUAUCGCAUGGUUUUAGGAGGGUUUUUACCCAAAAAGCAGGGCAUGGACCACCACAAAAAGGAAGAAACGAGUUGCAAAAGUCGCAGGAGAAGAAACGUUUGUUCAUGGUGUUUUUACUGUUUGCGGGCUCCACUGACACGUGGCGGCCCGCGAUAGAUUCACUUUUUAUUUAUUUUUAUUUUUUUAAUCAGACAAAAAAAAAUUAAAAAAAAAUAAGAAACCUAAUUGGGUUUGUGGUAUAAAGAUGCUCUUAGGACAUGAUUAACCUCAGUCUCUUAGCCGGGAUUCUUAACUUAUGAUUUGACAUUUUUUUAUAAUUAUUUUUUUUUACACUUUUCAGCUAAGAAACGGCUCUUAUAUUUCUUAUCUAAGAGAAGGUUCUUAUUUUUUCUUACUUAAAAUCUAAAAAAAUAUUGAGAACCAUCUCUUAUCCGAAGCUAAGAACUCCAGUUAAGAGACUGAGGUUAAUGAUGGUCUAAGAAUCUAAUGCUAAAGAGAAAAUUAGCGAAGACUUACAAUAUAUAAUAAUUAAGGGGAAAACUAAUCGAUGCUGACAUUAAGUAUUCAAAUGUUUGAUCAACGUCUAACAACGUUUUUAUACUUGUGAAAGGUAUUAUACAUGACAUACGCCACUAGAAGAAAACCUAAUCGUAUAUAAAUCCACCCCAGCCAUAGGAAAUCUAUAUAUGACAUAACUCAAAUCAAAACGUUUGCUCUCGAAAUUUCAUCAACGUGAUGACCAAAAACAAACGUUCACUCCUUUUCUCUUCAGAUCAGUUAUUUACUUAUCCAAUGGAUCCAACGGCCGUGCCACCUGACUCCAACCAGUGGCUACCGGCCACAGAUAGGAUCGGUGGAUUCGCUCAGGGGCUCGUUGUCGCCAUUGGUAUACUUCUUCUAAUUACCACAAUCACCAUCACUUCUUAUUGUUUAACUCGAAGCCAUAUCUUCGCAUCUUCCCCGAGGACAAUAAGACGCCGGCAAAGACAAACCGAUGCAACUUCAGGAAAUGGCGAUGAACGGUUUCACUUCGACGGCGAUGAUCAAAACGACACCGUGGUGGUCGAAGUCUUAGGGCUAGACGAUGAGGUUAUCAAGAACUUCCCUAAGCUUCCUUACGAAGAGGCUCGUGUGGGUUAUAGCUUGCAAAGGGAUGCCACUGCGACGUCAUGUUGUUCUAUAUGUCUUGCGGAUUACAAGAAGACAGAUAUGAUUAGGGUUUUGCCGGAUUGUAACCAUUUGUUCCACGACAAGUGCGUUGACCCUUGGCUCAUGAUUCAUCCUACGUGUCCAGUUUGCCGUACGUCUCCAUUGCCGUCUCCGGCGAAGACACCAGUCGCCGACGCUGUUAUCGGUCGAUAGAUCUUUGACUUCGUGUCUUUUCUUUAUUUACUAUAUUUCUAUUUCUGUUGACAUUCUUAGACUAUGCUAUACCUUCAAGUUGUAAAGUUUCGCGGGUGUUAUUUGGUUCGUUAUACAAACAAAAUUUAAUGGUAUAUUCUUGAGACAACAUGAACAGUUUAAUCAGAUUAUAAUAUUUAUUUAUAUUUGAUAUAACAAUUAUAAUCUUUAGUAAACCCUUUGUUCAAAUAAAAAGGUUUUAUUAUUUCAACCGGAGGAAGAAAUUAAUUAUAUUGAUACAUGACGCUACUGAAUACAUUAAUGCAUUUAUGCAGUUUAUAAAUAAUUUUCUCUCAAGUUAUUACAAAUACUAGAUUUGUAUUAUUUUUUUUCAACAAAUACUAGACUUUUAUUGAAGCUAAACGUACGUGCUUUACUGGUUCUUCAUCAAUAAUUUCAUGAACAUUACAUUCUUGUUAACUAGAUUGCGUCCAUCAUUCUACAAAGUGAGGUGAUUUUAGUGAAUGUGAAUACCACAAUGAAUGUUAGAUCUUGCCAACAUGAGAAAAAUAUAAUCAUAUUCAUUUUCAUGUAAUUAUCUCUAAAAAGUAAGAGCAGAAUCCUAGUAAAGAUUAUGGUUUAAUAGUAUAGAUUCAAGUUUUAACAUAACGUAGUGAAGUCCAAUACAAUCUAGGGCCGGAGACUCGGUUGGGUAAUAACUCAGGUCGGAUUAAACUGGUCCAUUUAAUUGCAAAGGGAAAAACAUUUCAUUAUUUAGGUAAACAUGCAAACAAAGACACAAAUUUAAAACAAAACACGAAACAUACCAAAGCUUGACCAAAACAAAAAUAUGAAAUGAGAAUGCAAAGACACAACAACAACUUUAUUCCAAGACACAUUAAUUCAUUAGGCAUCGUCCUCACCACCAGACUUGCUGCUCUCUCCUUCUUUGGUCUUCAUGUACUCCUCAUCAUCAUUAGAAGGUUCCAUGUUCAGGUUAAAUCGAGAUCCCAUAUGAGUCAUCCCAUCGCCAUGUUUUUGGACUUCUGGAUUAUCCACGAACCACUUGUCCAUUAAAUAGACACCUCCCCUUCGCAUCGGGCGGAAACAAGGUCCUGGUCCCCCUUCAGGUGCAACAGCAACACCCGUAGCCUUUGGGAUGAUCUCAUCCCCAAGAAAUGGCUCGUCGACACUUGUAUACGGAUGUUCCGCACCUAACUCUCUCGUCAAAACCGUGAUCUUCUUACUUGCAUAUGACAUUAGCUUCUCAACCUCGGUUUGAGAAAGGUCAGCAAGCAUUCUACCAUUUUGGAUUUGGAGCAUGAGAUGAUCCAUCUCCAACUCCUCGACCACCUUCCGAGAAUGCUCUAGUUUCUUCUCGAUCUUCUUGGUAAUGGUCUUGAUGUAUGACUCUUGAUCAUCCGCGUUCAUGUUCCUCUGGUUUUCCGGUAAUGCGUAAAAACGCUCGAUGAGAGAUUCAGCCUCCUCCUGAGAUGGCCACGCCACCAGCUUACCAUCAUCACGGUUGAAAAAGGUCAAGCAAGCCUUCGUAUCAGACAAGAUGGUUAGUUCUUCAGCCAUUUUCAUCAAUCCUUUCAUCCUCUUCUGGCAAGCAAUGUUUCUUUUCUUUCGAUCCUCGAUCCAAGCAAGCUUCAGUUUUGGUCUUGCCAUGGCCGCUUUUAGUUAUAUCUUUUAUUUGUGAUGUUGAAAUGUAGACAUGCACUUGUAAUCUUAUAUAGAGAUAGUUGAGAAGAAGAGACAAAGACUCAAAAUGGACUACUUUGGGAAUGUAGUCAAUUACCAUUAAUUUUCAACAGAUUUCAUAUAGCAGUAUGGUAAAUAAUAAUUUGACUAUGAUAUACCAUUAUUUUUUAGUCUAGGGGCGGUAUUAUAUUCCGGGGGGCCUAGGCGGAAAAAAAUUAUUUGUAAAAGGAUAAAAAAUCAAGAGCCCAAUUAUAAUAAAUUAAGAAAUCGGAGGUCCAUUUAUUAUGAUUUUUUGUUGAAUUGUUUUUUUUUAAUUGGGUUCGUAGGCGGUCCUUUCAUCCCGCUCCCCUCAAAACUGCCCCUGACUAAACUAUUUUGGUAGUGUAUUAAAUAUAUUGGUUGUUCUAAUUAUUAAGUUUAAUGUUUAUGUGUCAUCAUAAUUUACUUGGGUUUACAAUUUUCAUAAUAGGCAAUUUUACUUAAAAAAAUUAUUCUUGUUAAUUAUUAUAUAUUGUAAGUCUUUGCUAAUUCUCUUUUAGCAAAAUACUUUUAAUCAAAUAUAAAUAUAGUUAGAGAGUAGGUAAAAGUGACAUUAAUAUAAAUACUUGUAAUCUUAAAUACAAAUUGAUUAACUGAACUAAAAACUUAAUUUGGAAUGACAAAUUAUAUUUUGUAAUUUAUAAAAAAUGAUUACACUACUACUAAAAGUGUUAUUAAGUGUCCUGCAAACAUCUGCUCAUUUUUCAAAAUCAUCAUUUUUCAAUACCAAGAAUUCUGAACUUAAAUCACAAUAUAAGAUAUUAAUUUGGUUUCCUGCAUUAUCCGAUUUUGUAAUUUGUAUACUCUAUUUUUGUAUUUUCUGGUUGAAUUAACAAUGCUUGAGAUUUUUCAUUUAAAUAUGCUUUUCCAGCCAUUCAGUCUUAACAUCUUGAAAUUUUCGUUGGUGCAAUGGUGCACUUAGAAUCUUGUGAAAGCCGUAGCUAAUUAAUUAUGUGCCUCUCUAGGAAUUUAACACACAUCAGCACAAGCCUGAAUAAAUGCUAAAACAUUACAAUGAAACCUAGUAUGUCUUGUUAAACCAUUUUUAACGAUCUGAUUGAGACUAAAUCCACAACUGUUGUUAAAGAAGUUUUGAACGGUUUGAUUAUCUUAAUUCAAUUGUAUUUUGGUGACCUUUAUGGUUUUCAAUAAAUGAAUUUAAACAGUGAAAAAAAAGUAAAUAGAUAAAUAUUUAAAAAGCAGUGAGAAUAAGCAGACAAGACGUUUACGUACGUCAUCUGAUCAUCUCAUUCAAGCACUCAACAUGCCACGACUCGAUAUUUAAUUAAUAAGCCCUAUGCCAUUUUCCUAUAGUCUGAACAAAAGUCUAGUACGACAAAUCCAACAUAUUUUGAUCAAACCCAUCAUCGUACACUAAGAUUGGCUAAAACCAUGACUCCAAUUUUCUACUGAUUCGAGGGAUUAUCUACACUUUGGCCCUUUUUAUGCCGGUUAUAUAAAAAGGUCAAAUAAAUCAUUACAAGAAACAUAGAAGUAAAGUUGAGAUCAUAUUUACAUCUUUACAUCUUUACAUCUUUCAUCAAGUUUUUUUUAAACAAGAAAACAAAUCAUUUUUUGUAAAUAAGGGGAAAACUAAUCAAUGCUGACAUUAAGUAUUCAAAUGUUUGAUCAACGUCUAACAACGUUUUUAUACAUGACAUACGCCACAAGAACAUUAUAUGAUAUCAUAUGCAAAUCCACCCUACCCAAGAAAACCUAAUCGUAUAUAAAUCCACCCUAGCCACAGAAAAUCUAUAUAUGACACAACUCAAAUCUAGACGUUUACUCAUCACCAUGAUGACCAAAAACAAACGUUCACUCCUUUUCUCUUCAGAUCAGUUUUUUACUUAUCCAAUGGAUGCCACGGCCGUGCCACCUGACUCUGACCUGUGGCUACCAGCCACGGAUAGUAUGGGAUUCGCUUACGGGCUUGUUGUCUCCAUUGGUAUACUUCUUCUAAUUACCACAAUCACCAUCACUUCUUAUUGUUUAACUCGAAGCCAUAUCUUCGCAUCUUCCCCGAGGACAAUAAGACGCCGGCAAAGACAAACCGAUGCAACUUCAAGAAAUGGCGAUGAACGGUUUCACUACGGUGAUGAUCAAAACGACACCGUGGUGGUCGAAGUCUUAGGGCUAGACGAUGAGGUUAUCAAGAGCUUCCCUAAGCUUCCUUACGAAGAGGCUCGUGUGGGUUAUAGCUUGCAAAGGGAUGCCACUGCGACGUCAUGUUGUUCUAUAUGUCUUGCGGAUUACAAGAAGACAGAUAUGAUUAGGGUUUUGCCGGAUUGUAACCAUUUGUUCCACGACAAGUGCGUUGACCCUUGGCUCAUGAUUCAUCCUACGUGUCCAGUUUGCCGUACGUCUCCAUUGCCGUCUCCGGCGAAGACACCAGUCGCCGACGCUGUUAUCGGUCGAUAGAUCUUUGACUUCGUGUCUUUUCUUUAUUUACUAUAUUUCUAUUUCUGUUGACAUUCUUAGACUAUGCUAUACCUUCAAGUUGUAAAGUUUCGCGGGUGUUAUUUGGUUCGUCAUACAAACAAAAUUUAAUGGUAUAUUCUUGAGACAACAUGAACAGUUUAAUCAGAUUAUAAUAUUUAUUUAUAUUUGAUAUAACAAUUAUAAUCUUUAGUAAACCCUUUGUUCAAAUAAAAAGGUUUUAUUAUUUCAACCGGAGGAAGAAAUUAAUUAUAUUGAUACAUGACGCUACUGAAUACAUUAAUGCAUUUAUGCAGUUUAUAAAUAAUUUUCUCUCAAGUUAUUACAAAUACUAGAUUUGUAUUAUUUUUUUUCAACAAAUACUAGACUUUUAUUGAAGCUAAACGUACGUGCUUUACUGGUUCUUCAUCAAUAAUUUCAUGAACAUUACAUUCUUGUUAACUAGAUUGCGUCCAUCAUUCUACAAAGUGAGGUGAUUUUAGUGAAUGUGAAUACCACAAUGAAUGUUAGAUCUUGCCAACAUGAGAAAAAUAUAAUCAUAUUCAUUUUCAUGUAAUUAUCUCUAAAAAGUAAGAGCAGAAUCCUAGUAAAGAUUAUGGUUUAAUAGUAUAGAUUCAAGUUUUAACAUAACGUAGUGAAGUCCAAUACAAUCUAGGGCCGGAGACUCGGUUGGGUAAUAACUCAGGUCGGAUUAAACUGGUCCAUUUAAUUGCAAAGGGAAAAACAUUUCAUUAUUUAGGUAAACAUGCAAACAAAGACACAAAUUUAAAACAAAACACGAAACAUACCAAAGCUUGACCAAAACAAAAAUAUGAAAUGAGAAUGCAAAGACACAACAACAACUUUAUUCCAAGACACAUUAAUUCAUUAGGCAUCGUCCUCACCACCAGACUUGCUGCUCUCUCCUUCUUUGGUCUUCAUGUACUCCUCAUCAUCAUUAGAAGGUUCCAUGUUCAGGUUAAAUCGAGAUCCCAUAUGAGUCAUCCCAUCGCCAUGUUUUUGGACUUCUGGAUUAUCCACGAACCACUUGUCCAUUAAAUAGACACCUCCCCUUCGCAUCGGGCGGAAACAAGGUCCUGGUCCCCCUUCAGGUGCAACAGCAACACCCGUAGCCUUUGGGAUGAUCUCAUCCCCAAGAAAUGGCUCGUCGACACUUGUAUACGGAUGUUCCGCACCUAACUCUCUCGUCAAAACCGUGAUCUUCUUACUUGCAUAUGACAUUAACUUCUCAAC
rnacentral:lncRNA from 1 species